rnacentral:rRNA from 1 species
ACGGGAGGCAGCAGUGAGGAAUAUUGGUCAAUGGAGGCAACUCUGAACCAGCCAUCUCGCGUGAAGGAAUACGGCCCUACGGGUCUUAAACUUCUUUUAUAGGGGGAUAAAGUGAGGCAUGCAUGCCUUUUUGUAGGUACCCUAUGAAUAAGCAUCGGCUAACUCCGUGCCAGCAGCCGCGGUAAUACGUAGGGAGCAAGCGUUAUCCGGAAUUACUGGGUGUAAAGGGAGUGUAGGCGGGACUGUAAGUCAGAUGUGAAAUAUGCCGGCUCAACUGGCAGACUGCAUUUGAAACUGCGGUUCUUGAGUGAAGUAGAGGUAAGCGGAAUUCCUAGUGUAGCGGUGAAAUGCGUAGAUAUUAGGAGGAACAUCAGUGGCGAAGGUGGCUUACUGGGCUUUAACUGACGCUGAGGCUCGAAAGCGUGGGGAGCAAACAGGAUUAGAUACCCUGGUA